ensembl:lncRNA
UGCCCGAUGCUAUUCCGGUGCCCGAUGCUAUUCCGGAGGCCGAGGCGGUGCCCGAUGCUGUGCUGGAGGCCGAGGCGGUGACCGAGGCGGUGUCCGAUGCGGUGCCCGAGAUGGUGCCCGAAACCGAGGCACUUCACGUCUCCACAGGCCGUCCAGAGCACCUUCACGUCCCCACAGGCCAUCCAGAGCACCUUCAUGUCUCCAUAGGCCGUCCAGAGCACCUUCACGUCUCCACAGGCCGUCCAGAGCACCUUCACGUCUCCACAGGGGCCCCGGAGUGGCAGGUUCCGUCCUGGCCACUCAAAUGGCGGGUUCUUCCCUGGCCGUCUGCACAACCUGAACUUUCGGGUCCACCCUGGUCCCCUAAACUGUCUGAUCCACCUUGGCUACCGGUGGAGCCAUCGCUUCCUGUCCCUGUUCCCCUACAUGGGCCUGGCCCUCCAUCCCUCCCCCUGUUCUACCGCCACCAGUCCACCUCCUUCCUGGUCUUCUGGUUGUGUUGUUGUUGUUGUUGUUGUUGUUGUUGUUGUUGUUGUUGUUGUUGUGUUUGGGUUUUUUUUGUUUCUCCACUUCCUGUCCCUGUAGUCUUGGAGUGUCUGGUAGCCACUCCGUAGAGGGGGGGUUAUGUCACAGUGUCUGGGUUGUGUUCCCUGGGUAACCACUAGAUGUCCUCCUUCCCCACGGUGUCUGUCACUUAAUGAACCACAUUACCCACGAUCCCUGUCUCCUCAUUGCACUCAGCUGUCACUGAUUAGUAAUCAUUGCACACAGUCAAUUCCCCAUUAGCUUUUGUCAUGUCCCUGUGUAUUUAUACCGGUCUGUCUUAGUAUGUGUCACGGAGUCCUUGUUUAUUCUCGUCCGUCUCUUGUCGUGCUCUAGUCUUGUGUCCUUGUUUGUUUAUGUUGGAUAUGUUUGGUACUGACCCCUGCCUGGAC